UUUCAGCUUAUUCCAUAACCUCUCCUCAUAAUAUAAAGCCCCUUCUUGUACAAUAUACACCAAUCGGCCACCACCCUCACAUGGAUUAUACCUCCUGAUAAUGGAACACCUUUUCACUUAACCGAAGCUCGCCGAAAAGAUCGAGACGCGCCGGAGUCGAAGAAGAUCGGAGUUCGCCGGAGACGCCCGAACUCGCGAUGAAAUCGAUAAUCGCUCUGUUCGUUCUUUUGGAUUUUCCAAUCCUUCUCUCGCGCGUUAUUUCAAGAAAUCUCUAAACGCAAC
rnacentral:lncRNA from 1 species